rnacentral:tRNA from 1 species
GCCGGAUUAGCUCAGAUGGUAGAGCAACCGCCUUGUAAGCGGUAGGUCGUCGGUUCGAGUCCGACAUCCGGCA